rnacentral:rRNA from 1 species
UUAAAUUGAAGAGUUUGAUCAUGGCUCAGAUUGAACGCUGGCGGCAGGCCUAACACAUGCAAGUCGAACGGUAACAGGAAGCAGCUUGCUGCUUCGCUGACGAGUGGCGGACGGGUGAGUAAUGUCUGGGAAACUGCCUGAUGGAGGGGGAUAACUACUGGAAACGGUAGCUAAUACCGCAUAACGUCGCAAGACCAAAGAGGGGGACCUUCGGGCCUCUUGCCAUCGGAUG